CAGAGGGGGCAAGCGUUAUUCGGAAUUAUUGGGCGUAAAGGGCGCGUAGGCGGCCUUGCAAGUGGCGGGUGAAAUCCCUCGGCUUAACCGAGGAACUGCCUGCCAGACUGCAUGGCUUGAGACCGGGAGAGGUGAGUGGAAUUCCCAGUGUAGCGGUGAAAUGCGUAGAUAUUGGGAGGAACACCAGUGGCGAAGGCGGCUCACUGGACCGGUACUGACGCUGAGGCGCGAAAGCGUGGGGAGCAAACAGGAUUAGAUACCCUGGUAGUCCACGCCGUAAACGAUGAGUGCUUGGUGUAGCGGGUAUCGACCCCUGCUGUGCCGAAGUCAACACAUUAAGCACUCCGCCUGGGGAGUACGGUCGCAAGACUG
rnacentral:rRNA from 1 species